rnacentral:rRNA from 1 species
GAUGAACGCUAGCGGCAGGCUUAACACAUGCAAGUCGAGGGGCAGCGAGAGAGUAGCAAUACUUUUGUCGGCGACCGGCGGACGGGUGCGUAACGCGUAUGCAAACCUACCUUAUACAGGGGGGAUAACCUUUUCGAAAGGGAGACUAAUACCGCAUAACAUUACUUUGAGGCAUCUUGAGGUAAUUAAAUCUUCGGAGGUAUAAGAUGGGCAUGCGUAGCAUUAGCUAGAUGGUGCGGUAACGGCGUACCAUGGCGACGAUGCUUAGGGGUUCUGAGAGGAAGGUCCCCCACACUGGUACUGAGAUACGGACCAGACUCUACGGGAGGCAGCAGUGAGGAAUAUUGGUCAAUGGUCGGAAGACUGAACCAGCCAUGCCGCGUGCAGGAAGAAUGUC